ACUGGGAGCUUAUGUUCAUGUGGUGUUCAAUGUCAUCACAAACUUUCCCCUCGGGAUAUUACUGGGAUGGAGGCCCACAGAAACCACAGAUGGAGAGAGGGUGAAGCAAGCUUUAACACCGAAUGCUGACUCAAACCGAGGCUUCUCCCAUGAGAAACAGCCAACCAAAAAGGUGCAAAGACGCCCUAACACUUCAUUAAACCAGGCUGUGAAGAAAAUGGCAAAGUUUACAGCUUAACAGCAUGCAACUUUGUCUUUGCAUCUUGGCUUUUCUUUUUAUUAAAACACCUAUGGAAA